rnacentral:rRNA from 1 species
UGCAGUCGAACGGAGUCUGCAUGAAACCUAGUGAUUGUAGACUUAGUGGCGGACGGGUGAGUAACGCGUGGGUAACCUGCCUUGUACUGGGGGACAACAGUUGGAAACGACUGCUAAUACCGCAUAAGCGCACAGCUUCGCAUGAAGCAGUGUGAAAAACUGAGGUGGUACAAGAUGGACCCGCGUCUGAUUAGCUGGUUGGUGAGGUAACGGCUCACCAAGGCGACGAUCAGUAGCCGGCCUGAGAGGGUGAACGGCCACAUUGGGACUGAGACACGGCCCAAACUCCUACGGGAGGCAGCAGUGGGGAAUAUUGCACAAUGGGGGAAACCCUGAUGCAGCGACGCCGCGUGAGUGAAGAAGUAUUUCGGUAUGUAAAGCUCUAUCAGCAGGGAAGAAAGAAAUGACGGUACCUGACUAAGAAGCCCCGGCUAACUACGUGCCAGCAGCCGUGGUAAUACGUAGGGGGCAAGCGUUAUCCGGAUUUACUGGGUGUAAAGGGAGCGUAGACGGCAUGGCAAGUCUGAAGUGAAAUGCCAGGGCUUAACCCUGGAACUGCUUUGGAAACUGUCUAGCUAGAGUGCAGGAGAGGUAAGUGGAAUUCCUAGUGUAGCGGUGAAAUGCGUAGAUAUUAGGAGGAACACCAGUGGCGAAGGCGGCUUACUGGACUGUAACUGACGUUGAGGCUCGAAGGCGUGGGGAGCAAACAGGAUUAGAUACCCUGGUAGUCCACGCGGUAAACGAUGAAUACUAGGUGUAGGAGGG